rnacentral:rRNA from 1 species
ACUUCGGUUCCUGAGUAGAGCGGCGCACGGGUGAGUAACGCGUGGAUAAUCUACCCAUGGAUUCGGGAUAACAGUGGGAAACCGCUGCUAAUACCGGAUAAGCUCAUGCAAUGUGGAGUUGCAUGGGGAAAGGCGGCCUCUGGAACAAGCUGCCGUCGAUGGAUGAGUCCGCGUCCCAUUAGCUUGUUGGUGGGGUAACGGCCUACCAAGGCGACGAUGGGUAGCCGGCCUGAGAGGGUGGCCGGCCACACUGGGACUGAAACACGGCCCAGACUCCUACGGGAGGCAGCAGUGGGGAAUAUUGCGCAAUGGGCGAAAGCCUGACGCAGCAACGCCGCGUGAGGGAAGAAGGCCUUCGGGUCGUAAACCUCUGUCAGGGGGGAAGAACGGUAUGGAUUCGAACAGGGUCCGUAUUUGACGGUACCUCCAAAGGAAGCACCGGCUAACUCCGUGCCAGCAGCCGCGGUAAUACGGAGGGUGCGAGCGUUAUUCGGAAUUACUGGGCGUAAAGGGCGUGUAGGCGGCCUUGUAAGUCAGGUGUGAAAUCCCACGGCUUAACCGUGGAACUGCACUUGAAACUGCUUGGCUUGAGUUCAGGAGAGGAAAGCGGAAUUCCAAGUGUAGCGGUGAAAUGCGUAGAUAUCCGGAGGAACACCAGUGGCGAAGGCGGCUCUCUGGGCCGGUCCUGACGCUCAGACGCGAAAGCUAGGGGAGCGAACGGGAUUAGAAACCCCGGUAGUCCUAGCCGUAAACGAUGGAGACUAGGUGUGGGGAGUAUUAACCUCUCUGUGCCGUAGCUAACGCGUUAAGUCUCCCGCCUGGGGAUUACGACCGCAAGGUUAAAACUCAAAGGAAUUGACGGGGCCCCGCACAAGCAGCGGAGCGUGUGGUUUAAUUCGAGGCUACACGAAGAACCUUACCAGGGUUUGACAUGUACGUGGUAAGGAAUCCGAAAAGGUGACCGACCCUUUCGGGGAGCGUACACAGGGUGUUGCAUGGGCUGUCGUCAGCUCGUG